rnacentral:misc_RNA from 1 species
UAGCGUCUAUAAGCUUCCAUCAA